GGCUUUCUCCACCUCUCUUGAAUGAACAGGAGUCUCAGGAAAUGUCUGGGAACCGGAGACUAUGGAAAAUAAAAUUUUUAAAAUGUGAAACACAGCAAAGUUUUUUUUUUCUUUGUUUUGAGACAGAGUCUCGCUCUGUCUCCCAGGCUGGGGUGCAGUGGCCUCAUCUCACCUCACUGCAGCCUCCAUCUCCCAGGUUCAAGCGAUUCUCGUGCUUCAGCCUCCCAAGUAGCUGGGACUACAAGGCAUGAACCACGAUGCCCGGCUAAUUUUCUGUAUUUUUAGUAGAGAUGCGGUUUCCACAUGUUGGCUGGGCUGAGUCUUGAACUCCUGGCCCCAAGCCCACUUUGGCUUCCCAAAGUGCUGGGAUUACAAGUGUGAGCCGCCGCACCUGCCCAGCUCACAGCAAAGCUUUUUGAGAAUGUGAUAAUAAUCUGGUAAUAAUGGCUCUUCACCAAGUAACUAAGGUAUUUCACAGCUUUCCUGGCUUAACCAGUUAGGUUAAGGAAAAGAGAAGCCCCCAAGGUGAGGUGAGGCCUCCUGGAAUUAGGGCUGGAAUCCACUGAUAAGUAAGGGUCUGAGUCUGCCUACCCAAUUUUACAUUCGCUGGUAAAGACUGGAGUCCUUUUAUUCCCUAAUUAUGUGGCUCAUGGAUCAUCUAUUUAGAUCUACAUAGAUCCUUCAGGAUCUAUUUUUAUCUAUCAUCUGUUGCUGGAAUUUGUUGUUAAAUGAACUGACUGUACUUUAUGUUUCAUCACCCCUUGCACACACUCACAGGCGUCCAUCUCUGCGCGGUUAAUCUGAGCCAGGAGUUCCCUGUGACGUCAGUAAUAACUGACCUAUUUAUCUGUGUCCCGGGCUGCUGAUCUCAAAGUAGAGGUUUAAAGGAAAGAACACCAGAAAUCAUUACCUUCUUGCCUGUAUAAUUAGUAAUAGGAAAAACCCAGAAAGAGACAGAGAGAAAGGGGGGAAAAAAUCCUCUGAGAACCCUGGUAUAUGUGGCCGGCUAAUUCAAAAAAGUCCCAGGGUAAGUUGGAAAACGCGUUCUUUAAGACCAGAUCAAGGUCUCUGCUCGUCAUCAGGAAAUAUGAUUUGUGCUAACACAGGCCUUCCGUUAAAAACCUCCCGGGCAAGUUAGCUAAGGACAGCAGGUCUGACCUAUGAGUUAACCAAAACAUUACCUCAUCUGCAAAGAACUCCAAGAACCAUUCAGAUCCUGAGGUCCAAAAUCCUUUUUCUAGGUUUCUGUAAGUUUCUCACUUUCAAAGCAUGUACAAGUGUGGCUCCUCUGUCUCCCAAAGGCAGGCAGCUUGGGGCCGCACUGCUGUCAUCAGUAGAAAAAGGCAAUGUCAGAAGUUCUUUGAAAUUUCCGAACAAUGACAGGCGUUAACAUUUUUCCAAAAUACUGCUACCAAAUUCUAAGGUGAUAAAUAUGAAAGAAAAAAAUUCGUAAGCAUUUCAGAAAAUAAAGAGUGGAUAUGCAGAAGAUAAUGAAAACGAUUAGGCCUCCAUCUCUACCCGAAGCUGCCUAAACAGCUCCCGAGGGGAGGAGGGCUCUUCAGAUCCGCGGGGCGGGGCUCCCAGGCAGCCUACAGCACCAGGACAGCAUCCAUCUCCCCCUCCGCGGCUGC
rnacentral:lncRNA from 1 species